AGAAUUAUAGUUUAAAAAACAUUUGAUUUGCAAUCAAAAAUUAUUAUAUUUAAUUUAUCUUA
rnacentral:tRNA from 1 species